rnacentral:rRNA from 1 species
GAUGAACGCUGGCGGCGUGCCUAAUACAUGCAAGUCGAGCGAACGGACGAGAAGCUUGCUUCUCUGAUGUUAGCGGCGGACGGGUGAGUAACACGUGGAUAACCUACCUAUAAGACUGGGAUAACUUCGGGAAACCGGAGCUAAUACCGGAUGAUAUUUUGAACCGCAUGGUUCAAAAGUGAAAGACGGUCUUGCUGUCACUUAUAGAUGGAUCCGCGCUGCAUUAGCUAGUUGGUAAGGUAACGGCUUACCAAGGCAACGAUGCAUGACCGACCUAGAGGGUGAUAGGCCACACGAGAACGGAGACACGGUCAAGACUCCUACGGGAGGCAGCAGUAGGGAAUCUUCCGCAAUGGGCGAAAGCAUGACGGAGCAACGCCGCGUGAGUGAUGAAGGUCUUCGGAUCGUAAAACUCUGUUAUUAGGGAAGAACAUAUGUGUCAGUAACUGUGCACAUCUUGACGGUACCUAAUCAGAAAGCCACGGCUAACUACGUG